GGAGGCCUGAGGGGCUUUGGUGUUUUGGGAGGCUGCACGUCUUGGACCAGUGCUCGUGGAGUGCGGGGUUAGAAGUUUUGGGAAUAUUUAUCUUACUUAUGUCCCAUUAUGGGGGAACUUUUUUUUUAGUCACCGGCCAUGGCCAUAGCCUUUUUAUGUUUUUUCUAGGCCUUUUUGGUUCAAAAUCUCUGGUACGGUAAAAUACGGUAUUUUCCAAUGGCUUGUACGGUAAUACGCGUUUGAAAAGUUGGCUACCCUGGGUGGGCGUCUUGCAGGCUUACCUUGCGCGGACCUGCAGCUGUUUGAUUCGCUCGGAGCCUGAAGGGCUCCGCUCUCAAAAUCUCAUUUUUGUUGUUGUUGGUAACGUAGAUAACGUAGCAGGAAGUGCUGGAACCUCAAACGGGCAAUGUCAAUUACGAACUCCCGCGAACUUAUGCUCGAACUGCACUGCCACUGGUUGCACUGAGCAGGGACUUUCCGGAGCCCUUCGGGACCUGCACGUGCCCUUGAGGGAGGCGUGAGCUCGAAUUUAUUUCUUUUUUGAACCCUAUGUGUAUACACGUGGUUCCAGGGGGUGGGCAAACACGUAGCGGUGAAGCAGUCUGCUGUGGCACGCGCAUAUGCCCGUACGCACGGUACCAGCAGCCGAAAAUGGCAUACUGCUCAGCCAUGUUGCCGAACUGCCACCAAAAUAGAAAAUUACAAUGAAAACAAAAAAAUAAUUCCUUCAAUGUUCAAAGCUUAGCAGAAUUACGUUCAUACAGGACACGACACUGAGGGCCAACUGCACCACUUCGGCUUAGGAGUUAAGUGGAACUUAAUAAUUUAAGUUGACUACAUCACAGUUUAAGCGCCACUUAAACCAGUCUAAGUGGCACCUAGCUUAAGCCGUACCCGUGGUUCGGCUUAGCCAUAAGUGGGACCUGURCGCAAGCGUCGCGGGUUGGUUGACGGGUUACAAAUACAUACAUAACCAAAAACAGAUUGUUGAAUUCACGUUUUGGUUCAUUCUUGUUCGGCGGAUAUUUAAUAAGGUGAAUCAUGGCGUUCUUUAUGAAUUCUUUGACAUGGGACGAUGACGACGAUAUAUAUGAAUUGGAGAUAAUUGAAUUUGGGGUGCCAAGGCGGAUUAACAACCGUGCAAAUCAUUUUCAUGAUUUGGAUGAUUACUCAUUUUUUUUUUAAUUUCGACUAACCAAAGAGACUGUAAUGGUUCUAUUGCCGUUAAUUGAAGGACUGCUAGAGUUUCCGAUUGAGACAACUGGACAUUUACCACA